rnacentral:lncRNA from 1 species
UAGUGAUAUUGGACAUGUUUCUAUUUUUAACAAAUGACUGAACUUAAUUAUUUGUGGUGAUUAGGAAAGUAGAGGAACAUAGAAUAAAUGUGUAAAAACUAUGGAGCUAUUGAAUGUGUUCAAAGUAUUAAAUUUUCAAAGAACUUAUUGUGUUAAAAGGGGGAUAUUUUACCACAAGGAGCCGCAUCACAAAAGGAUGUUCGGG